rnacentral:lncRNA from 1 species
CGGCCACGUAACAAAGGGCGGGCUGCCGGGUGGACGCCGGGCGGGUCCGUGCCAGCCUGCGCGCGGCCAGGGCGGGGCGAGCUCAAACCCCGCGGGGUGCUCGGGCCCGCGCCCUGGCUCAGGGGAGCGGGUGGGGGGCGAGGGAGAGCCCCUGCCUGCCCACGGCCCCGCGGCGGGCAUUCCCUUCCAGGGCGGUGUGCCCGGGCUCGGCGGCGAGGGCCAGAAGCUCCUCUGGUGGGCUGGUAAGCCCGUGGCCCUCAGCCUCUCCUCCUUCCCGACACCGACAGCUUCUGCGCACUUGGGCCAGUGUUUGUCCCCGGUUCUCCGCUGUGCUGCGCAGCCGGCCCUUCAUCUUCUCUACCUCCACAGUAGGCGGCGGGUCCUGCCUCUGCUUCUUCCCCACCUGGCCUGGACGCCUACCUGUCACUUGUGCUUUGGAACCCCACCGUCUCACGGGUCUGGAAUACGGAAUCGUGGAAAACUCUCAUUCAAGAACCGCGCUAGCCUGCCUCCUGCAACAAGCCUGAUUCAUGAAACGCCAGAACACUGUCCACUCCCUCCUUCAUUUCUCGUGAUGGUUCUCAUCUGGAUGAGAUCUGCUUUGAGCUGUCGUGUCAUUGACUGGAGUACAUUUGUACCUUCCAAUUCAGUGCCUGAUGUGGGGUCUCCAUUUGCUAUGAGAUGCAGGGAGCAUUGAAAUCACCAACACCAAAACGGAACAAAGUCCAAUACCUGACUAAUGGCAGAGCUCGCUAACUGGGAGCCCUCCAAACCCUCCAGACAGUUCGAGGCUACAGAUGGGAUUGGUUUGUUCAUUGGUUGGGCUACACAGUGUUUAGUUUUAAUUUUUGCAUAGUUUUCAAAAUUUAAAGAUUUGCAGAUUUCUCCUAAAAAUCAGAAUUUCUGACCUGUGUUGGAAAGUUGGAAGAUUUGGGGACCCUGGCCCCCUCAUCCUGAGUGGUAACACGUGGCAGGCCCCGUUGGAGAGGGCAGCUUACCUCCAGUUUAUAGGCUCCACUGGUCCUGUCAUCCAAUACAUUCUGCUCAUUCAUUUAUGUACCUAGCCUGUAGGUUAUCACAAGGAUAUUUUAUUUAGCCAGUAGUUCUUUAGCUAUUUCUCACUAGGCAAAAAUGUCCUUAUGUAGAUGUUUCCUUUAACUGUGGGCUAUAACAGAGGACAUGGGUUAAGGAAAAAUAAAGGUGACAGCAGGCUCUGCUACA